rnacentral:lncRNA from 1 species
AUGGCUGUGGCUUCCCUCAUGUCUGCGUUGGCUGCCCAACUGCUCUGUCCCCCGCAGAGCUGCCGCCCGCGCUCUCGCACCUUCCACAGCACGGCAUUUUGGAAUCACCAGUGAGACAAUUGUGAAACCAGCUUCAAUUUCUGAGGAAGAAUUGUUGAAGUUAAUAAAUAAACUGAGUAAUGUUGAUAAUUAGAUAAUUAGAUGGCCACCUUGUUCAGCUGCCUCUUCCAGAGCACACUGAUGAGAGAAAGAUCUGCAAUGCUUUUUCUCCAGACAAGGAUGUUGAUGGCUUUCCUGUAAUGAAUGUAGGACGAAAGUGUUUGGACCAAUAUUCCAUGUUACCGGCUACCCCAUGGGGUGUGUGGGAAAUAAUUAAGCGAACUGACAUUCCAACCCUAGGGAAGAAUGUGGUUGUGACUGGAAGGUCAAAAAUUGUUGGAAUGCCCAUUGUAAUGUCACUGCACAUACGUGGGGUGCAUGAACGUCCCAGAGAUGAUGCCACCGUUAGAAUAUCUCAUGGAUAUACUCCCAAAGAGCAGUUGAAGAAACAAAAUAUUUGCAGAUAUUGUAACAUCCGCUGCACGAAUUCUAAACCUGUUCACAAUAGAUAUAAUCAAGGAAAGAACAGCAGUUGUUGAUGUGGGAAUAACUAGAGUUCAAGAUCCCGUAACUGCUCAACCCAAAUUGGUUGGAGACGUGGGUUUUGAAGGAGUCAGAUAAAAAGCCGGUUACAUCAUGCCACUUCCUGGAGGUGUUGGCCUCAUGACGGUGGCGAUGCUAAUGAAGAAUACCAUUACUGUUGCAAAAAAGUUCUGAGGCUUGAAGAACAGUAAGUGCUGACGUCUAAAGAGCUUGGAGUAGCCACUAAUGA